GAUGAAGAACGAAGCGAAAUGCGAUAAGUAAUGUGAAUUGCAGAAUUCAGUGAAUCAUCGAAUCUUUGAACGCACAUUGCGCCCGCCAGUAUUCUGGCGGGCAUGCCUGUUCGAGCGUCAUUUCAACCAUCAAGCCCCCGGCGUGUGUUGGGGACCUGCGGCUGCCGCAGGCCCUGAAAAGCAGUGGCGGGCUCGCUGUCACACCGAGCGUAGUAGCAUACAUCUCGCUCUGGGCGUGCUGCGGGUUCCGGCCGUUAAACCACCUUCAUAACCCAAGGUUGACCUCGGAUCAGGUAGGAAGACCCGCUGAACUUAAGCAUAUCAAUAAGCGGAGGA
rnacentral:misc_RNA from 1 species